GCCGGAGUGGCGGAAUCGGCAGACGCGGGGGACUUAAAAUCCUCUGGGCUUUGCCCGUGCGGGUUCGACUCCCGCCUCCGGCACCA
rnacentral:tRNA from 1 species